AUAUGACUAGCUACAGUUUCAAUACUUUCAAUUUCCUCUCCAUUCUUCCUACUCCUGUCCCACCCAAAUUUUUGCCUUUUCUGUGAGUAAGCCUUUCUCUUAACAAUAUAGAUAGAGAAGUUUCUGCUGGACUGUACACUGCAUAAAAGCAGGGACUUGGUCUUAUCUAUUUUUUUUAUUUAAACUUUACCUUCUGCCAUAAGGUUCUAAGGCAAAAGAGCAGUAAAGGCUAGGCAAUAGGGGGUAAGUAAAUUGCCCAGGGUCACACAGUGUAUUAGAAUAGAUAAUCUGUGGAGAUAUUUCUGGUUGUAAUAACUGGAUAUACCCUGUCUUGACUAGAGAGAUGCUAGGGAAACCUGAGGGUGCCUAGUUGUUAUGGAGAUAGAGGUACUUCUGAGAGAGAGAGAUGCUACUAGAGGGGAUACUCUGGGGUUGCCUAUUGAUCACUGCUAAUGGCUAAUAGAUCAAUAUUUUCCCUACCCUCCUCCUCCCUCAAUACCACCCUUCACCACCCUUUUCUGAAGCCAAUGGCUUUGCCCCUCCUCCCUUAGUGGACUAUGAGAUUUAUGAAGAAAAACUCCUUUCUCUUCCUUUCUCAAGUAAGGCGGUUUAUUGGGAACAGCAGUAUGGAGAUUGAGCUCUACUGUGAAGGCCACUGGAAGUGAUGCAUGGAUAUGGAAAUGAUGCACAGUCGCCAAGGGCUAAGUAAGGAGAAAAGAAGUAUGAUAAAGACAGAAUGCUGGCCUUGGAAUUGGAAGAUCAGGUUUAGGACCAACAUACUGGUUGGGUGACCUUGGGAAAAUCACAAAACUCCUCAAAAUACUCUAGGUACCUACCUCCCUAAGACUAUAAAUUGUAAAAAAUGAUGCCAAUCUGAAUUGGUGAAUGGAUUUUUCUCAUCUGGAAAUUCUUUAAUAAAAUCAAAGGUCCA
rnacentral:lncRNA from 1 species